rnacentral:rRNA from 1 species
UACGUAGGGUGCGAGCGUUGUCCGGAAUUAUUGGGCGUAAAGAGCUCGUAGGCGGUGUGUCACGUCGGCCGUGAAAACCUGCAGCUUAACUGUGGGCGUGCGGUCGAUACGGGCAUCACUGGAGUUCGGCAGGGGAGACUGGAAUUCCUGAUGUAGCGGUGAAAUGCGCAGAUAUCAGGAGGAACACCGGUGGCGAAGGCGGGUCUCUGGGCCGAUACUGACGCUGAGGAGCGAAAGCGUGGGGAGCAAACAGG